AGUGGCUCUUCUUCCAGCUUGAAUCGAUCUCUGUUUGGACACUUACAGUUACCCGUCAUGUUGAUAUGCACUUGACUCACCCUAGCCUCGGGCCCCAUGCCCCACACGGAUGCUCAUGGAGGCAGCAGGAAGAUGAGGAGCUCUCCAGGGUUCUGCUCAAGCUGAGCUGCAAGCAGCUGGAGGAUAAGCAUUUGGAGAGAAAUACCUCCAAACUGCCCUUUGAUCCAGCCAGCUUGAGUCAGCUUGCAGAAACGAGGGUAUGACCAAUGGCUAAAUGGGGUAAAUAGUGCACUAAAUUGCUAAUGGCUCUCUACUGCAAGAUUAAAGAUGGAAACUAAUUCUGGCAAAUUCCCAUCUACCUGCCUACAUCGUGAUGUUCUGAACAGUGCAUUGAAUCUUCCACAUGAUGUUUCUGGAAGAAUAGUUCAAGUAGGCUGGCGGUGGUGCGACAAUGGUUGCUCUGGAGGAGGCAGCUGAGGAGGAGCCUGCAGGGUUUCAGAAACAGUGAUGUUGAAAGAGGCGGACAAGCAGUUGCUGGAUUCACUUUUUGCGGAUCAAUUCAGGAAUGAUCUAAUGCUGAAGAGCAGUCCUGAAGUAAAGUGAAGCAUGUUUUUAAACAAAAAUUUUAACAGGAAUUUUUAAGGAGAUUACUUACACGUUAUCUUUCUGGUUGCACUGGAAAUCUAACUUUCACCUUUUCAUCAGCUGCUUGAGCUGGAC
rnacentral:lncRNA from 1 species